AAUGAACGUUGGCGGCGUGGAUUAGGCAUGCAAGUCGUUCGUCCCGCGAGGGACGAGGCGCAAGGGUGAGUAAGGCGGAGGCAACCAACCCCAUACUUGGGUAUAGCCGCGGGAAACUGCGGGUAAUCCCCAGCGACGUCGCGGGAGGACAUCCUCCUGCGACCAAAGGUGUGAUUCCGGUAUGGGACGGGCCUCCGUGG
rnacentral:rRNA from 1 species